rnacentral:rRNA from 1 species
AACGAACGCUGGCGGCAUGCCUAACACAUGCAAGUCGAACGAGACCUUCGGGUCUAGUGGCGCACGGGUGCGUAACGCGUGGGAACCUGCCCUUAGGUUCGGAAUAACUCCCCGAAAGGGGUGCUAAUACCGGAUAAUGUCUUCGGACCAAAGAUUUAUCGCCUUUGGAUGGGCCCGCGUUGGAUUAGCUAGUUGGUAGGGUAAAAGCCUACCAAGGCGACGUUCCAUAGCUGGUCUGAGAGGAUGAUCAGCCACACUGGGAAUGAGACACGGCCCAGACUCCUACGGGAGGCAGCAGUGGGGAAUAUUGGACAAUGGGCGAAAGCCUGAUCCAGCAAUGCCGCGUGAGUGAUGAAGGCCUUAGGGUUGUAAAGCUCUUUUACCCGGGAUGAUAAUGACAGUACCGGGAGAAUAAGCUCCGGCUAACUCCGUG